GAGAGGGGGCGUGUCUGGACGUCAAUCUUCACAGACUCCCUCCCCAUGCAGAGGUGGGAUUCACCCAGACACCCCGCUUCUCCUGGCCCUCAGGGUCGCCAGUGUCCUGUUGACUCAGUCAUAAGGGCCUUGGCUGCUGUGGGGUGUGUUCGCUGCGGUGGACUGGGACACCUUCGCGUACGUGCCCAUAGGCACCUUGCGGUGCAGAUUCCAUAUUAAUCAGGUGCAAGGCCCCGGAGCACAGGCUUGGGGCAACUUGCCCUUGAGGGUGCUUCCUGCUUUUCAUUUCGUGAAAUGUGACCUCAUCCGCCACUCAGCCCUCCACCCUCAUUCCACUAACCCCAGGAUAAAGCUAUUUAAUCCUCUCUUGUUCCUCACAGCCAUUAUAAACGGUGCAGGAUCGUUCCUAUUACCCACUCAUGGCACAAGAUCGUCCCCGUUCCCCUUCAGGAUCUUCGCUGUCAAGGCUUCCUUCCCUGGGUGAAUCGCAGGCAGCCCUCAGGAGAGCAGACCCCACUUCUGCAGAUAAGAAUUGUGUCACUGCCCCAGGAGUGCAGUGGAUGGAACCAUAAAGCCAGUGGCUGAGGAAGCUGGAGGAGCUGGAAGUGGCAGAGGCAGCCUGCCUGGGGGACCCAUUCCUGACUUUAAGAAAGGGUCACAAGGACAACCCCAGAGACGCACUCAUAGAGAAACCCUGUGCUUGGGGUUUGUCAAGGGGACAAGGGUAAGUGAAAACACGAAAAUGAAAGGGGUUAUGGCUACUAGGAAGAACAGGGGAAAGGGUUAAAGGCAGAACUGGCAGUUUAAGAAACACUUUUCAUUCAGAGUUCAUCAUCAUUUACUGAUAUCAUUUGGGGUCUGAAUCCUCCUGAUGGGUGAACA